GCGGCAUGGCGGCCUGCUGCACAUGCAGUCGAGCGGUAAGGCCCUUCGGGGUACACGAGCGGCGAACGGGUGAGUAACACGUGAGCAACCUGCCCCUGACUCCGGGAUAAGCGGUGGAAACGCCGUCUAAUACCGGAUACGACCCGCCACCUCAUGGUGGAGGGUGGAAAGUUUUUCGGUCAGGGAUGGGCUCGCGGCCUAUCAGCUUGUUGGUGGGGUAACGGCCUACCAAGGCGAUUACGGGUAGCCGGCCUGAGAGGGCGACCGGCCACACUGGGACUGAGACACGGCCCAGACUCCUGCGGGAGGCAGCAGUGGGGAAUAUUGCGCAAUGGGCGAAAGCCUGACGCAGCGACGCCGCGUGGGGGAUGACGGCCUUCGGGUUGUAAACCUCUUUUACCACCAACGCAGGCUCCCAGUUCUCUGGGGGUUGACGGUAGGUGGGGAAUAAGGACCGGCUAACUACGUGCCAGCAGCCGCGGUAAUACGUAGGGUCCGAGCGUUGUCCGGAAUUAUUGGGCGUAAAGAGCUCGUAGGCGGCGUGUCGCGUCUGCUGUGAAAGACCGGGGCUUAACUCCGGUUCUGCAGUGGAUACGGGCAUGCUAGAGGUAGGUAGGGGAGACUGGAAUUCCUGGUGUAGCGGUGAAAUGCGCAGAUAUCAGGAGGAACACCGGUGGCGAAGGCGGGUCUCUGGGCCUUACCUGACGCUGAGGAGCGAAAGCAUGGGGAGCGAACAGGAUUAGAUACCCUGGUAGUCCAUGCCGUAAACGUUGGGCGCUAGGUGUGGGGACUUUCCACGGUUUCCGCGCCGUAGCUAACGCAUUAAGCGCCCCGCCUGGGGAGUACGGCCGCAAGGCUAAAACUCAAAGGAAUUGACGGGGGCCCGCACAAGCGGCGGAGCAUGUUGCUUAAUUCGACGCAACGCGAAGACCUUACCAAGGUUUGACAUCACCCGUGGACUCGCAGAGAUGUGAGGUCAUUUAGUUGCGGUGACAGGUGUGCAUGGCUGUCGUCAGCUCGUGUCGUGAGAUGUUGGGUAGUCCCGCACGAGCGCACCCUGUCAUGUGCAGCACGUAUGUGGGACUCAUGGAGACUGCGGUCACUCGAGAAGGUGGGAUGACGUCAGUCAUCAUGCCUAUUUCUGGCUGCAACAUGCUACAUUGACGUACAAUGGCUUGCAUCCGUAAGUUGAGCGAAUUCUUAAGCGUUCAUUCGAUUGGGUCGCACUGACCUGAGGUGGAGAUCCUUGAUAGAUCCGGAUCAUCAAGCUCG
rnacentral:rRNA from 1 species